rnacentral:tRNA from 1 species
GCCUGGGUGGCUCAGUCGGUUGAGCGUCCGACUUCAGCUCAGGUCAUGAUCUUACAGCUAGUGAGUUCGAGCCCCAUGUCAGGCG